AACGAACGCUGGCGGCAUGCCUAACACAUGCAAGUCGAACGAGACCUUCGGGUCUAGUGGCGCACGGGUUCGUAACGCGUGGGAACCUGCCCUUAGGUUCGGAAUAACUCCCCGAAAGGGGUGCUAAUACCGGAUAAUGUCUUCGGACCAAAGAUUUAUCGCCUUUGGAUGGGCCCGCGUUGGAUUAGCUUGUUGGUAGGGUAAAAGCCUACCAAGGCGACGAUCCAUAGCUGGUCUGAGAGGAUGAUCAGCCACACUGGGACUGAGACACGGCCCAGACUCCUACGGGAGGCAGCAGUGGGGAAUAUUGGACAAUGGGCGAAAGCCUGAUCCAGCAAUGCCGCGUGAGUGAUGAAGGCCUUAGGGUUGUAAAGCUCUUUUACCCGGGAUGAUAAUGACAGUACCGGGAGAAUAAGCUCCGGCUAACUCCGUG
rnacentral:rRNA from 1 species